rnacentral:rRNA from 1 species
GGAAUAUUGGGCAAUGGGCGGAGGCCUGACCCAGCCAUGCCGCGUGCAGGAAGACGGCCUUCUGGGUUGUAAACUGCUUUUACCAGGGAAGAAAACACCGUUGCGACGGGGAUUGACAGUAACUGAGGAAUAAGCACCGGCUAACUACGUGCCAGCAGCAGCGGUAAUACGUAGGGUGCAAGCGUUGUCCGGAUUUAUUGGUUUUAAAGGGUGCGUAGGCGGCCUAAUAAGUCAGUGGUGAAAUCCUGCGGCUCAACCGUAGAUGUGCCAUUGAUACUGUUAGGCUUGAGUACAGACGAGGUAGGCGGAAUUUAUGGUGUAGCGGUGAAAUGCAUAGAUACCAUAAAGAACACCGAUAGCGAAGGCAGCUUACUAGGCUGUAACUGACGCUGAGGCACGAAAGCGUGGGUAGCGAAC